AUCGAACGCUGGCGGCAGGCCUAACACAUGCAAGUCGAGCGGAUGAAGGGAGCUUGCUCCUGGAUUCAGCGGCGGACGGGUGAGUAAUGCCUAGGAAUCUGCUUGGUAGUGGGGGAUAACGUCCGGAAACGGGUGCUAAUACUGCAUACGUCCUGAGGGAGCAAGUGGGGGAUCUUCGGACCUCUCGCUAUCAUAUGAGCCUAGGUCGGAUUAGCUAGUUGGUUGGGUAAAGGCCUACUAAGGCGACGAUCCGUAACUGGUCUGAGAGGAUGAUCAGUCACACUGGAACUGAGACACGGUCCAGACUCCUACGGGAGGCAGCAGUGGGGAAUAUUGGACAAUGGGCGAAAGCCUGAUCCAGCCAUGCCGCGUGUGUGAAGAAGGUCUUCGGAUUGUAAAGCACUUUAAGUUGGGAGGAAGGGCAGUAAGUUAAUACCUUGCUGUUUUGACGUUACCAACAGAAUAAGCACCGGCUAACUUCGUG
rnacentral:rRNA from 1 species